UCCUGGCUCAGAUUGAACGCUGGCGGCAUGCUUUACACAUGCAAGUCGAACGGCAGCACAGGGAGCUUGCUCCCGGGUGGCGAGUGGCGCACGGGUGAGUAAUACAUCGGAACGUGUCCUGUUGUGGGGGAUAACUGCUCGAAAGGGUGGCUAAUACCGCAUGAGACCUGAGGGUGAAAGCGGGGGAUCGCAAGACCUCGCGCAAUUGGAGCGGCCGAUGCCCGAUUAGCUGGUUGGUGGGGUAACGGCCCACCAAGGCGACGAUGGGUAGGGGUUCUGAGAGGAAGGUCCCCCACAUUGGAACUGAGACACGGUCCAAACUCCUACGGGAGGCAGCAGUGAGGAAUAUUGGUCAAUGGGCGCGAGCCUGAACCAGCCAAGUAGCGUGGAGGACGACGGCCCUACGGGUUGUAAACUCCUUUUAUAAGGGGAUAAAGUUGGCCAUGUAUGGCCAUUUGCAGGUACCUUAUGAAUAAGCAUCGGCUAAUUCCGUG
rnacentral:rRNA from 1 species